rnacentral:rRNA from 1 species
GAACGACUCUCGGCAACGGAUAUCUCGGCUCUCGCAUCGAUGAAGAACGUAGCGAAAUGCGAUACUUGGUGUGAAUUGCAGAAUCCCGUGAACCAUCGAGUUUUUGAACGCAAGUUGCGCCCGAGCCCCUCAGCCCGAGGGCACGCCUGCCUGGGCGUCAC